GCCCUUAUAGCUCAAUGGUAGAGCGGAAAACUGUUAAUUUUUUAGUAAAUGUUCGAUUCAUUUUAGGGGCU